rnacentral:rRNA from 1 species
GAUGAACGCUGGCGGCGUGCCUAAUACAUGCAAGUAGAACGCUGAAGGAGGAGCUUGCUCUUCUGGAAGAGUUGCGAACGGGUGAGUAACGCGUAGGUAACCUGCCUCUUAGCGGGGGAUAACUAUUGGAAACGAUAGCUAAUACCGCAUAAAAGUCGACAUUGCAUGAUGUUGACUUGAAAGGUGCAAUUGCAUCACUAAGAGAUGGACCUGCGUUGUAUUAGCUAGUUGGUGAGGUAACGGCUCACCAAGGCGACGAUACAUAGCCGACCUGAGAGGGUGAUCGGCCACACUGGGACUGAGACACGGCCCAGACUCCUACGGGAGGCAGCAGUAGGGAAUCUUCGGCAAUGGGGGCAACCCUGACCGAGCAACGCCGCGUGAGUGAAGAAGGUUUUCGGAUCGUAAAGCUCUGUUGUAAGAGAAGAACGAGUGUGAGAGUGGAAAGUUCACGCUGUGACGGUAUCUACCAGA